GACGAACGCUGGCGGCGUGCUUAACACAUGCAAGUCGAGCGGUAAGGCCCUUUCGGGGGUACACGAGCGGCGACUGGGUGAGUAACACGUGACUAACCUACCCUUGAGUGGGGAAUAACUCCGGGAAACCGGAGCUAAUACCGCAUAACACCGCAAGGUCAAAGGAGCAAUCCGCUUAAGGAGGGGGUCGCGGUUGAUUAGCUAGUUGGUGGGGUAAUGGCCCACCAAGGCGAUGAUCAAUAGCCGGCCUGAGAGGGCGCACGGCCACACUGGAACUGAAACACGGUCCAGACUCCUACGGGAGGCAGCAGUGGGGAAUUUUGCGCAAUGGGGGAAACCCUGACGCAGCAACGCCGCGUGAAGGAUGAAGGUCUUUGGAUUGUAAACUUCUUUCGUCCGGGACGAUUAUGACGGUACCGGAAGAAGAAGCCCCGGCUAACUUCGUGCCAGCCGCCGCGGUAACAC
rnacentral:rRNA from 1 species